UGCAAGUCGAGCGAAUCCAGGGAGCUUGCUCCCUGAGAUUAGCGGCGGACGGGUGAGUAACACGUGGGUAACCUGCCUGUAAGAUUGGGAUAACUCCGGGAAACCGGAGCUAAUACCGGAUAACAUUUCGAACCGCAUGGUUCGAAAUUGAAAGGUGGCUUUUGCUACCACUUACAGAUGGACCCGCGGCGCAUUAGCUAGUUGGUGAGGUAACGGCUCACCAAGGCGACGAUGCGUAGCCGACCUGAGAGGGUGAUCGGCCACACUGGGACUGAGACACGGCCCAGACUCCUACGGGAGGCAGCAGUAGGGAAUCUUCCGCAAUGGACGAAAGUCUGACGGAGCAACGCCGCGUGAACGAUGAAGGCCUUCGGGUCGUAAAGUUCUGUUGUUAGGGAAGAACAAGUACCAGAGUAACUGCUGGUACCUUGACGGUACCUAACCAGAAAGCCACGGCUAACUACGUGCCAGCAGCCGCGGUAAUACGUAGGUGGCAAGCGUUGUCCGGAAUUAUUGGGCGUAAAGCGCGCGCAGGCGGUUUCUUAAGUCUGAUGUGAAAGCCCACGGCUCAACCGUGGAGGGUCAUUGGAAACUGGGGAACUUGAGUGCAGAAGAGGAGAGC
rnacentral:rRNA from 1 species